UGAGGACGGUCUCCAUGACAACGGAGAGCUGAGACUGGAAUGUGAGGAAGAGGGCUUCUGACAUUGUCCCGUCGCCUUGAGGACACCUUUAAGGGACGGUGUGCAGAUUUUCAGCAGACUGAGGAGGAUGUUCAUCAGCACGAAAGAUCCCAGAACAGAGGCGGAGCAGACCCAAGAAACAUAAUGUGGGCGUGUCAGCCUCCAGCUCACAGCUUCCCCGGCUUCUCUCUGGAACGUUCUCCUGUUUGAGACCACCAUCAUUUUCUACAUGUGGUCAAAGAUCUAUGGCCAUUGCCACACUUUGCACACAUCGUGACUGGUGUCUCCUGGCUUCUCCAUCUGGACUCACUCCACUGCAGCCUCUUCUUCAGUGUCUCCACCUGUUCUCGAC